GGCCGACUAGCUCAGUUGGUUGGAGCGUCGUGUUGAUAUAGCACAUAUGGUUGCAUGAGAUAUUAACGCGAAGGUUUUGGGUUCUCCCCAGGUUGAUUCA